CCAGCCUAGCCCAGCCUAGCUUCGUCAUGGUGACUUCCCUUGCAGCACUGCAAAGUGUGACACCGCUGUUUGUUUAGGGCUGUGUCCAAAAGCACAGUCCCACCCUGGCAGCAGUGACAGCUUUCCCCCAGUGCCAGCUCUCUGUGCAGUCCCCAGGGAACAACAGGGACAGAAUCCCCUGGUUCUGCCAUCAGCUGAGCUCCUGGUUAAAUGGGUCAGGCAAGGAAGUACAUUCCCUAAAGGAAUUGCAGUCUCCUAUGCCUCAAAAACUUCAGUCACAGAGGAAAUAUCCUAUUUUGAUGUGGUUCAAGAAGGUGGCAGGGAGAGAAGUAUAAACUUUAUAGCAAGACCAGCUUGACUCAGAAGAGGGACUGUGUGCUACAUAUUCAAGAUUCUGGGGUGAAAAAACCCUAGAGAACAGCAAAGAAACAUUCUCAGUCUACAUGAAGAAAUUGUUAGAAGUGUAUAGAGUGAGACAUUCUGAUAAUCUUUGUAUUAUGUGAAGAAUGAUUCUUUUUAUAAUGCCUUUAUUUCCGCAACAAUGCUACUGUUCCAAUAGCUCUGUCAGAGCUACUGAGUGAUGAGUUAACCCUGCUGCUGCCCUAAGAGAGAAGUGGAAGCUGCAGAGCAAAAGCAAAGAGGGUGGAUAGAUCUUUUCAAGCUGGAGAAACCAUCAGCUUAGUAGAGAGGAAGUGACUGAAAAAAGAGGGUAAGAGAGACCUAAUAACAAUUCCCUGAGGAAAACUGCUGGUCAGAACAAUUAGCUAUGACUCUAGGAAAAGCCACAACUGAACAGAGAACAGAGGAUUUCUUUUAAUUUGGUAUCCAGGAGCACUUUGGAUGGAAACUAAAAGAAUAUUUUCCCUUCCUAAGCGGAUCCUUAAAAGAAGGUGGCCAGGGCUGCCUCCCAGCUCCAGCUCUUCACUCUUCAUUAUGGCACUUUAUGGGAUAACUGGGACAGCAAGUAUGUUGCAGUCAUUAUGCCAGUCACAGCUAUGGUCUGCAAAUGUGACUGCAUGGAAUAUCUGGCUUCUAACACAGGCUGUGAAGGGAUGUCCCUUUUUACCACGGUCAGGGAGGAGCUGACAGGCUCACCAGAGACUUCAAAAAACCUCAGCCUUUCAGUUAGCAAGGAGCUCCGUGCUGUCAUGUACUCAUUUUUCACAUGGGGAAUGCCAUGCAAUAUUGCACAGAGCAGUUAUAAGGCAUUAGCUGCCAUCUCAUUUAUAAAAAAAAAAAAAAAGCUUUUCUCUGCUGCAGUUAACCAGUGAUCAGCUAUGCACAAUACAUGCUUGAUCAUGUCUCAGUGGAAAGUCUUUUUUUUUCAUUUUGCUGUGUUAUAUAUUUAGCUUGUGGGAGGCCAGGCCAGUUAACAGCGUAAUGUACUUUAAAAAUGAAUGUGAUUACUAGUAUUUUUCUCCAUUAAAAUCAGCAGAGAAGUUUACUUAAUUCUUUGUCCUUUAAUCAGAGCAGUAAAGAAUUUCAGCAAUCUGUAAAUCUGGCCAUAUAGAGUUACAAUAUAAGGGAAAUUCACAAUAGUGCCAUUUUUCUUUGAAACUGCUUUAUCUCAGUGAAAGAUAUUUAAGCAAACCCGUCACAACACACACUGCUGUACAAUUGACUGAUGUUCCUGCUAGAAAUUCUUGCCACAGGUUUUGCAGCAGAGGGUAAGGGCAGAACACAAUCGUGUUGAAAAGCUGGUGCUGGUGGCUUUAAAAAUCACUGCUCUUUUUUUAAAACCCCAACUUGAGUCUUUACUAGGCUGUACCAUGAGACACAUACACGCUGUGUUACAUUAAAAUGUUUAAUUAGAAAUAUGAGUUAUGCUUUGCAUAGUAACAAGAAGCCAUCAUAAAAUAAUGUAUACUCUGAUAGUCUCAGACUAUCACAGCAGUCAUGCAUAAGUUCAAAUCCUUUUCAGUGGGACAUUGAUUAAUUCAUCCUUUGAUGAAUCUAGGCCCAGGCAUUCAGCAGCUUCUUCCCUUUCUCAGCAUGGGUUUAGUUAUGUGAAGCCAGAAAUGGCCUUUGUAUGUUUAGACUUUGAGAGCACAUUCAGCUGGAAUCCUGCCUCACACCUAGGGCUAGACCUCUGCAAUAAUGCAACUCUGCUUGUUCCAGCUCUGAACAAAGACAAGCAGGGCUAUGGAGUUAUGUUACUCACUACAAGUUGAGGAAUCAGCUUUCCAUGUGGCUUUAUCCUCCCACCCCUUUUCCCACAGGAAUAACACAAUGUGAGUUAAGCUUGUGCCUUUGCCAUUAUCUUGCUUUAGUGGCUCAGUUCCAACACACAGCCAUGUACCACCUCAUUAUUUAUAUCCUGCUAGCAUCUUAUUUAGUACCUCAGCUUCCAUCAUAAAUGUACUGGGAUAACUGGAUAAGAGACUCAUUAUAAUUGCAGCUUCUCUGCAGGGGUCAGCACCUCCUCCCCAUGAAUAUGAUAAGCUCCAAGUGCCACCUCACCUGCAAAUGGUGUUUUUCCCUGAAGACCCACUUUGCACAGGCUACAAGCUGCUAUUGAAUUUCUGAAGUGAUAUUUUAAUAACUUAAUUUAUGAUUUAACAGCUUUCUUUCGUGUGCUUUGUUGUAUAAUUAAUCCAUGUGAUGGGAACUCAUUAGACUUGGGGAUCUGAGAUGCAUCUGAACACGCAAGGACUGUAAACAGCCAUAAAACCUGUGUUAGGGCCUAUUUAAGGUGGGCAAAUGCAGAGCUGUGUGCAGAAAAAAUAAAUUAUUUUAUCCUUGGGGGUAAUGAGAAACUAUUUUUUGAUAGUUGGAUGUGUCUUUCAAUCAUAUCUGAAGUUUGUUAUAAUAGUAGUGAAAGCAACUAAUUUUUGUCCACUGACAUUUAAAGUGGAAUCCUUGACUUCCUGGGCUGAGAAGAUCUGGCCCAACAUUUCUAAACACAAUCUUACAUGCAUGUGUGCAUGCCCAGGAGCUGUGGGCACUUCCACCUCCUGGAAAUAUACCUCAAGCAGAUACUACAGACACUUUGAGCCUGACAUUGAACAAUCCACCAUGAGAUUUUGUCUCUUUUGCUUGCUUAGUGCUGUGCUGCUGUGUUUAUGACAUGGAAGAGAUGAGACCUGUCACUGCCAUCCUGAAUUGCUGCAAGAACUGAAGCCUUGGUGUCCCACUUCUCCAGAGAACUCUGUAACUUCAAGACUUCCAUGAGGUUUCUUGUUUCCUGCUGGUAGUGCUAUUCUGCUUUGAUAUGAACCAGAGAGCACAAAUGGGUCUGGCCCUAAGCACUGGUUAGAGCAUUUGCUCAAGUUUAAUGUCCAAGACCACGCUCUGGAUUAGGCAGAGCAGAGGUUUGAAAUCCCUUUCCAGGAAAACACAGCUGAGUGAGCUGCCCAUUUACCUGUAAACAUGGGUGUGGGUAUCUCAUUUCUUCACUUUGCAGUGAGAGCUGCAGAACCCAGCUCCAGGGGACAGGCAGUAGCAUGGCUAAGUGCGCACACCAGUCUGCCCCACUACUGAGUAUUUCCCUCUUCUGCACAUCCCUUUCAAGGGUGCGCUGCUUUCUUGACAAGCUGAGGAACAAAAGCAUGGAAAACACAAAGACAAAACAACAGCAUGAAGGGAGUAACACCUGUGGGCAUCUGGGAUAUGUUCCUCACUGUGUGCAGUGCUGAGCUUCCCAGCAGAGCAUCUUUUCCCCACUGGACAUGAGCAACAGCUCUAAUGAAAGCUUUGCAAAGGAGAGUGCUGCCAGCUGCAGCUGGGAGCUGGAUCAUUUGUGUGCAGAGACCUGUUUUCCACAGACAGGAUUUACAUAAGCACUGCACACAGUGUUUCUGUGCUGUCAGGGUGCCUCGAUCCUUUUCUCUCUCGAGGCUUGUCUUCCUCUGUACAAUUUUUGUGGUGAGCCAGGUACACUUGUGUACCUGUUUUGCUCAAUUAAACCUGUUUCAUGGAUGUGAGUCAUCUAUUUCAUGGUCCAGAACAUACUCAUUUCAUUUCCUCUGCCCUCUGGUGAUUGAGUUAAUUAAUAUUUUGCAAACACCUUGAGACCUCAUUGAACUUACUACUGUACAAAGUGCAGGGCUUGUCCCAGGAUGAUUCUUCUGAAUAGGACAGGAAGGAAGAAGCUCAGGAGAAAGGAGAACUUAGAGAACAUAGACAUUUAUAUGGUACUCAAUUCUUAACAGUCCCAGUCCAUUUUUGCUGACUGAUUAAAUAAAAGGAACAUAUUCUGGUUUUGACACAGGGACUGACCACAAUUCUCAGUGACCUGGGGUAAGACAAAUGUGCCUCACUGAUCAUUUGACAUGGGUUUUUAGCAAGCUGCAGACCCUUCCAACAAGAUCUGCCAGAUCUUCCUGACCAAAGGGUGCUUUCAUUGUGGAGUUCAUUUCCACUGGACUUUGGAUCUGGUCUUUGGGAGAGACCUAUGUGGUGCCUGGCCCUGGCACACAGCCAGCAGCGUGUUGUGGCUGACAGGGGCAGUCACUUGCCCAGAAGAGGCCAGGAACUCAUUGCUCAGCAAUGGUGGUGAUGUGCCACUGGCAUCCAAGAAGGGAGCACCUGCAGAGAGACCCCAAAGAGGUUUGGAGGAGAAGGAGGGCAAGAGGGGCUGCAGGCCCAGAGCAGAGGUCCCCCUCAGGCAGCACCUCAGCUGGAGCAGAGACACUCCUGUAGCCCAGGGAAGGGCCUGUGCCAAGACAGGGAGAAGGGGAAGGAGGGAGGAGUGGACAGGGGAGGCUUGGAGGAACCCACCACAGACCACUCCACCCCUAUGCCCCUUAGUGUGAUUGGGGAAAAGGGAGGAAAGGCUUGGUUUUUUCAUUUCUUACCAUUCAAACCUAUUUUAAUUGACAAUACAUGUAAUUUUCCCCAUUAUAUGUCUGGUUUGCCUGUGACAGUCAUGGGUCACUGAUGUCCCUGUCUUAAUCACAACCCAUGAGUUUUUCCAUCUUCUCUUGCUCAGUAAGAGUGAGAGAGCAACUGGAGGGUUGGGGCUCUUGCCACAGGGAGGACCCAGCUGUGCAAUCUCAGGCUGCAGGUGCUCCUGGGGCUCCUUUUCUGCAGGUCUGUGCUGAUGAAGCACCUCUGUGGCCAAGGGAAGGAGCUGCAGCAGGAGGUCAGCUUGCUGUGGAGACACACAGAUGAAGAAAAGGAGGCUGACUGGAUGCUCUUCUGGAUACAAGGGAAGCCCGACCCUCCAGCUGAAGGAGGGACAGGCAGUCUCUGCUUAUUGGAUUGUAAAACAGAGAAUGGUCCAUUCUGCGUGCAAGAAGCCAAGUAAAGGUGUCAUGGAUGAUCAAGGGGUGUUGCCGCCUGUUAGUUUACCUUCAUUAAGUAUGUUGUUCACCUUCGUUGAGUUUAGAGUUGGUUUGCCCCAGUUACUCCCCACUAUCCCGAUAUAGUUUGUUCCCAGGUGCCUGUCAUUGUAAACCUCUCCCCUCUUUCCAGAUUGUUCCCCAUCCAUCACUUUGGUCCUACCCCCAAGCCUUAUCAAUCUAUGUACACCACACCUUUUGUUCUGGUUCCUUCCCUGCUCAUCAUCCCUUACUCGAUGCCCUAUUUGUUGUAUGGCUAUCCUCCCUCCCCCAAGUCCCUACCAUUGGAUUUGUGUAUUGUAACCCCUUCCCACAACACCUCCCCUGCUGCCAUAUUAUUGGUUGUUGUAUGAGCCGCCCACGGGCUUUAAAAUCUGGCGCACAGAGGUGCCCAGGGUCUCGGCUCGGACUUUCUCCUCGAGAUCCCAGCCCUGUCCCUCAUCGCCUUCUCCCUGCACCUGCUGGAAUAAACUUGUUCCUGGGAAAUUGGA